GUCCAGUCCAUGUUUUACUAAUGAGUCCAGUCCAUGUUUUACUACAUGCCUGGACUCAUUAGUAAAACAUGGACUGGACCC